rnacentral:rRNA from 1 species
GACGAACGCUGGCGGUGUGCUUCACACAUGCAAGUCGAACGAGGUAGCAAUACCUAGUGGCGGACGGGUGAGUAACGCGUGGGAAUCUGCCUCUAGAUGGGGGAUAACGGGUCGAAAGACUCGCUAAUACCGCAUAUGACGAAAGUUGAAAGGAGUAAUCCGUCUAAAGAUGAGCCCGCGUCCGAUUAGCUAGUUGGUAGAGUAAAAGCCUACCAAGGCGACGAUCGGUAGCUGGUCUGAGAGGAUGAUCAGCCACAAUGGGAACUAGAGACACGGCCCAUACUCCUACGGGAGGCAGCAGUGGGAAUUUUACGCAAUGGGCGAAAGCCUGACGUAGCGACACCGCGUGAGCGAAGAAGCCCCUUGGGGUGUAAAGCUCUGUCAGCUGGAACGAAAAAAAUGACGGUACCAGCAGAGGAAGCAUCGGCUAACUACGUGCCAGCAGCCGCGGUAAU